rnacentral:rRNA from 1 species
AUUUUAAAGGAAGUUUUCGGAUGGAAUUUGAAAUGACUGAGCGGCGGACGGGUGAGUAACGCGUGGGUAACCUGCCUCAUACAGGGGGAUAACAGUUAGAAAUGACUGCUAAUACCGCAUAAGCGCACAAUACCGCAUGGUACAGUGUGAAAAACUCCGGUGGUAUGAGAUGGACCCGCGUCUGAUUAGCUAGUUGGUGGGGUAACGGCCUACCAAGGCGACGAUCAGUAGCCGACCUGAGAGGGUGACCGGCCACAUUGGAACUGAGACACGGUCCAAACUCC